GAGACAGGGGUAUUGUUACGUUGACCAGGUUGGUCUUGAAUGCUUGGCUUCAAGCAAUCCUCCUGCCUCAGCCUCCCAAAGUGCUAAGAUUACAGGGAUAAGCCACUUUGCCUGGCCCAAACCAAUUUCUGAAGUUGGGCUAAAGAAAGCAAAUUCACCACCCUCUGAUUCCCAAACCCUCUGGUUUUCCAAUAUCUACCUGUGAAAUGGCCUAACCCAGGCCUAGGCAUACAGGAAGUGCACAUUAAAUGCAUGCUGGAUAAGUACAGGGGUCCUGCCUGUCCUAGGGUGGAGUAGGAGGGUAAGUGGUAUGGGAAGUUCUUUUCUCCUUGUGCUAUAAGAGGCUUUGGAGACUGAUUCUAGAUGGUCAAUCAGCAAACACUUGACUGAACCAUUCUUCUAGGCCUGCCCAGUUAGUAAAAAUGGUCAUAAAGCUGGCAGAGCCAGGUUCAAUCUGGUUCCAUCAAUGCUGAAGGGAGGCUGACUGUGCCUCAGUUUCCUCAUCUGUAAAAUGGUUUUGUGAGGCAGGAUGGAUCCGGUGCCAGUCCAGAGGGCAGGGCCUGGGUCCCCUCCGAGAGGCUGGGCAGACACCUGCGCUGGACUGGGGACAGACCGUGUUUCCUGCUCCUGGAGAGGGCGGAAGCCUGGCAGGAGGGGAACAGAGAGGCCUCAGCCUUCUCGGGUAACUUGAUCCUCAGGAAUGUUUGGGCCAGACAGCGCCCCCAGCCCGAGUCUGGCGCCCGGCCCCCGACCGCCCUCCGGGGGUCCCCGUCGGGGCACUUUCCCUGCAAGCCCCGCCCCUACCAGCCUAAGGGUCCUAAGCGCCGGUUUAGAAUCCUCACAAGCCCCACCUCCCCGCUGUGGGGUCUUGAGUGCCUGGCUCCACCUCAUCCCUGCGGUUGCCUGCUUAACUCGUUUUUCUUUGGGGCUUUCCGAUUUAUCAAGGGUUCUCUCUGGCCUGGCCUGUACGACUCUGGGCACGUCACCUGCCCCCUCCAGACACUGUCCUGAGAAGUGGGAUAACGUCCCUCGCCACUGGUGGAGCUGCUGCUGGGAUAAAGGUGAAAAUGCAGAGUCCGGGACCAAGCCCUAUUGUUGCCCCAACCUCAUCUGCAACUUUCACUGCCUUGGAGACAAAUCCCUCCGGAGCAGAGGUGGAGGCCUCGGCACUCCCCUUCUCUUCCUUUGGCACUCACUGGCUUCCCAAUCCCGUCCCACCUGCCUCCCCACCUUCUAGAAAUGUGUCCAGCUGGCUCCUGUCCUGGGGCCUUUGAACUGGCUGUUCCUACUACCGGAACACUCUGAUCCCCCAGUAUUUGGCAAUUAGGUCCAGCUUGUCUGUCAUUUGGUGUUACAUCCUGGGCCACCCCUCCCAGAUUACCCGACUCUAAAAUAUCAGCCCCCUCCAUUACCAUC